rnacentral:lncRNA from 1 species
CAGGACAGCCAGGGGUCUUCAAGACAACCCUGUCUUGAAAAAAGCCAAAAACAAACAAACAAACAAACAAACAAACACCCAACCAAACCAAAACAAAAAGUCCCCUUUCUGGGCUCAAGAAUUGCUCUUUGGGGCUGCAAAACAAAGCAAGACACAUCCCUUUUCAUUUACCCCGAGGCAGACAGCCCCUGUGUACCACACGCCCUAGCCUGUGUUAGCAAAGGAUUUACGGAUGGUACAGAGGUAGACCCGGGAGGACAGAGGCUCUGCCCAGGAUGCUGGCACCUGAGGGUGAGAGGUUUGAGUUCCAUGGAAUCAGGGCAUCAAAGCACAUUUGGUUUUUCUCAAAGCUGAGCUGAGAGUGGGAGGGGCCGGGCCACUGAGCUCAGGUGGUAACAAAACUUGAGAAAGAGGCUCCCUUAGGGGGUUUGAUGCUGCGGGUGGUAGGGAAAGGGAGGGGGAGACUACAAGAAGGAAGCAAGUCCCUUGAAGAUUCUGGGAAUGCUGUAUUCCUUGACGUGGGAGGAGGCAGUUCUGUGAGUUUUAAUUCCCUACAUUUACACUUUUUUACUUUUAACACGAUUCACAAGACGAUGACAGUUCAAACCUAUGAAGGGCU